rnacentral:rRNA from 1 species
UUUGAUCCUGGCUCAGGAUGAACGCUGGCGGCGUGCUUAACACUGCAAGUCGAGCGAAGCAUAUAAGCGGAAGUUUUCGGAUGGAAGCGUGUAUGACUGAGCGGCGGACGGGUGAGUAACGCGUGGGUAACCUGCCUCAUACAGGGGGAUAACAGUUAGAAAUGACUGCUAAUACCGCAUAAGCGCACAGGACCGCAUGGUCAAGUGUGAAAAACUCCGGUGGUAUGAGAUGGACCCGCGUCUGAUUAGCUGGUUGGUGAGGUAACGGCCCACCAAGGCGACGAUCAGUAGCCGACCUGAGAGGGUGGCCGGCCACAUUGGGACUGAGACACGGCCCAAACUCCUACGGGAGGCAGCAGUGGGGAAUAUUGCACAAUGGGGGAAACCCUGAUGCAGCAACGCCGCGUGAGUGAAGAAGUAUUUCGGUAUGUAAAGCUCUAUCAGCAGGGAAGAAAGAAAUGACGGUACCUGACUAAGAAGCCCCGGCUAACUACGUGCCAGCAGCCGCGGUAAUACGUAGGGGGCAAGCGUUAUCCGGAUUUACUGGGUGUAAAGGGAGCGUANACGGCGAUGCAAGUCUGAAAUGAAAGGC